rnacentral:tRNA from 3 species
CGGUAGCUCAGUCGGUAGAGCAGAGGACUGAAAAUCCUCGUGUCGGUGGUUCGAUUCCGCCCC